rnacentral:rRNA from 1 species
CCUACGGGAGGCAGCAGUGGGGAAUAUUGCACAAUGGGGGAAACCCUGAAGCAGCGAAGCCGCGUGAGUGAAGAAGUAUUUAGGUACGUAAAGCUCUAUCAGCAGGGAAGAAAAUGACGGUACCUGACUAAGAAGCCACGGCUAACUACGUGACAGCAGCCGCGGUCAUACGUAGGGGGCCAGCGUUAUCCGGAUUUACUGGGUGUAAAGGGAGGGUAGACGGCAGCGCAAGUCUUGAGUGAAAUCCCAUGGCUUAACCAUGGAACUGCUUUGGAAACUGUGCAGCUAGAGUGCAGGAGAGGUAAGCGGAAUGCCUAGUGUAGCGGUGAAAUGCGUAGAUAUUAGGAGGAACACCAGUGGCGAAGGCGGCUUACUGGACUGUAACUGACGUUGAGGCUCGAAAGCGUGGGUAGCAAACAGGAUUAGAUACCCGAGUAGUC